rnacentral:lncRNA from 1 species
AUUGUGUAAAUAGUCCUUGAAUAAUAUUAUUUUACAAAAUAGCCCCUACAAAUGUGAAAUGACAAGAAUGCGCUCAUGUGCAAAUAUGCGACCAUAUUUAACCAAAAAAUCCGACUGAGUUAGAGCUAAAUGCCAUAACGUGUAGGAUUUUGAUACGUUAAGGACAAAACUAGUCAAUUUUGAAGUCAAAGGACACCCCUGCAAUUUGAUACAAACAUAAAAGACAAAACUUGUAAUUUACUCAAAAAUUAAAAGAGCCCAUGCGGACUGCAACGACUUUUCCUUGCGGUCAUCUGUGUAUUUUUUCAAUGUAACACAACGUCAAAAUGAAGUUUUUUAGUUCUCAUUAACAAUGUGUCUUCUUAUGAUCUCUCCUUUCAAUCUUUACAGGGCUCCCGCCCUCAUGUCACCUUUAAUCUACAAUAUUCUCUAUAUAUUGCAGCUUAAAACUAGACUUGUGAGUCAACAAAUACAAAAACAACAAAGUGCAACAAUAAAAGUUACAACAUGCUCUUUAUUCUAUAGAGUGAUACAUGUCCAACAUAUCGUUACUCAAUGGUAUUAUUAUUUAACAAACAUAUGAAAUAAAUAUCCAACAAAGUCAAAUAAAAGAAUGUUCCAAGAAUCUUUGACACAUCCACCACAUUAGCAGAGCUAGAAAUAAGUUAUUCAAAGGGUGGGCACAACAGAGAUAAGUUUACAUCCAGUUAACUUUAGCUGGUACAAACUUAAGCUAACUAUUUACACGGGUUGUAAUCGCGGUUUGGUUGGGUUAAAACACCUACCAAAAACCAUCUUUUGCCAUUUUCAGGAACUCACAAAGUGUGAUGGUUGGGAGCUCGUUGUUGUCCGAUUUCUUCUUCUUGAUUUUGGUCAUCUUCAACACCUUUGUACCUUUGGUCUCGGACUCCGUUGUUGACACCAAGUUGUAGAACUGUCAAUGACAAGAUGAUUCAUAGGGUGUUUGGAUGUGCACUUCGAAAGCAACCGUAUGAUAUUGAAUGAACAUUGUCAGAUAAUUAGUUUUUUUCCUCUUAUUUGGUAACCGUGAGAACCCGUUACUAGUGUUUGGGUCAUUAUCAUAAAGUGGAUAAGACGGUUUAAUUUAUAUUUUACUGACAAUAGUUUUAAUAAAACCUUUUGAAAAUAGAUUUAUAUUUAUAUUUUACCUCACAAACACCAUGAAGUAACAACCUAUGGAAAGGAUCUUGGGCAUACAUCACAAGAACCUCCUCAUUAGCUGCCUCUGAGACAAAGGCCCGUAUGUUAACCUGAAAACGAUCAGUGUGAUCACUAUGAUUGCAAAAAUCAUAUUACUGACACAAUAAUUUAAUUUACUUAUUAGAAUGAUUCAGAAGGUUUUUAUCCAUUUGACCCCUUUCCUAAAUGGGCCAAAACUGUCAUCUUUGCUUUAUACCAAAAUUUAUAUGUUUCAAGUUUUCAACUGCACAACCAUUUUACAAGCAAAAAGAUUAUUGAAUAAAAAUCUUCUGGUAUAACAAGAUAGAUGCGUAUACUGUAAAAUACCUCAAAACCAUUAACAAGUUCUGGAAGGAAGCUUCGGCGAAAUGCCUCUCUAGUUCUGCAGUCAACCCUAUGCCAUGCAGUUAACGCAGCUAUCUUAUCAGCAUCCACACUACUUUUCUUCUUUGAUGAGAAACCUUUGAGAGCCUCUAUUGCACCAGCCUGCAUGGGAAAACAUUUAAGGAUUAAAUAUUAUAAAAAUCAUAAAAAAAUAAAGUGUAAAACAUAAAAGGUCAGGCUUUUGUUCAAUUUAUUUAUAAAUAAUCAAACUGUUAAAUAAAAAUAUAAAAAUAACUUUUUCUUGCUAUAUUAAUACUACUUACUGGAUAAAACAAUUCAGAAGGUUAUAUGCAUUAGAAAUACAAUUUUGAGUGACUUCGAUCCAUUCCUUUUUAGCUAAGCGUUUUGAUUUAAGUUAUUUGACCCAUAUGAGAUCAAUAAUGACCCAAACGACCCAUGUUUACAUCAUGAAGAAAGACAAAGUCCAUAGUAGAAAGAAAAAAAAAAGCUAAUUAAGAGCAGAUAAACAGAGUAAGAUAUAUUCUCGUUGCUAAGAUAUAAACUUCUUUCAAGCCAACCCCAUAUUAAAGGAAAUACGGAAAACGGGAGGCAUAGUUAUACUCAACAAUAGGAUGUUGACAUCAGUGUCAAUAGAAACAUGAGUAAGAAAUCAUUUUUUCCAAGAGUACCAUUGAUGGGAAAAGAGAACGACAAACAAGAGAAGUGGAAAACCUCUUUAUCCAUGUCUAUAUUCCUAAACUUGUCCCACUCCCCCACAUUUGUCAUGCAAAAUGGUGACGGCUGUGCCUCAUCACCUGUAAAGUCAACCAUAAACGUAUCAUUUUGCCAAUUCAGCAAAUAAAGAGCAUACCAUGGUGGGCCAAUAUCACUGCUUGGCCAACCAAAACCGAAUGAAAAUGCAUUUAACAUUAUAAGCAUUACUAUUUGUCCAUACUGAACUUUAAAACUCCCGUUUUGGUAACCAACUUUUUAAAAUUUUGCUUCUGAUGCAAUUAACUUUUAAAAUUUACCUUUUUGACCAGCUUUUAAACCUAUAUACUUAAAUUUACAAUAGAAAACAGAUGAAAGACAAACCACUACCAUCCAAAUACAGUAAUACACGGUUACACACACAUAAAUUAAAGUGUUUUACCAAAAGGUGGUGGAGCAAACAACCCUCUAAUUUCAUCUCCAGUCAAACGAGGUACAAGCUCCAACAGUAUACGAUCAUUUAUCCAUCUACGUGCCCGUCUGUUGCUAACCUGGAAGAAAUUAAUAAAGAUUGUCAACCACAUAGUUUUCAAAAACACAGGUCAUAAACCUAAUUAACAAUCACAUACAAUCCAAAUCACAACUACAAAUUAACUAAAGAUGAUGCAAACCCAAAUAGUUCACUAUUCAUGAAACUCCAGUCAUGUGAAUUAAAACAAGAAAUACAAUGAGUGAAAACACUAAGAACGGGUUACAUAUGUAGAAAGUAUCUAUCAAGUAGCAGUUUACUAAACUACAACAAGAUUGUCAAAACAUCAAUUCAUGUAUAAAUUAAAACAAGAAAGAAAAUGAGUAAAGUUUUAAAAACAUGUCACAUAUGUAGAAAGUAUCUAUCAACUAUCAGUUUACUAAACUGCAACAAGAUUAACAUCUAACUUCCAUCUCCUCACGUAGAUUACAUCGUAAAUAUGUAAAAAAAUAAUAAUUCUUUUAGCAAAUACAGAAAUAACUAACUAGAUUAAAAUAUUCAUUAACUGGUCAGCAAGAUCACAGUUUCACCAUUAAAUUAAA